CUUUUCAUUUUUUGGCUGGCAUCAACUUCUCAUUUUUCAACUACAUUUUUUGUAUUUGAUAGCUUAAUAUUUCUUUAAUAAUUAUAGCCUGAAGAAUGUCCUGGUGCAGCAACACAUGUGACUUUUCUCAGCUAUAUUUGAAAGCAUUUUGGGUUCACGACAAAUUGGUGCGCCUAAAAGUAUGCAGCGAAAAUUUCCAUAUGGAAGGCUCAACAAACUAGAAAUAUUUGUAUAAAUAAAGAAAGGGUUGGCUUUUUUAUACAAUCCCCUGUCCCGUAACAACACCGAAAUAUUUCUGCGAGCUUUCAGCGUAAUUGUGGCGACCAGCAAGACGCAUUAACUUUUGUAGCUGGAUUUAUUCUUGGAGUUCUGGUCAAAAUUGCAUUGCAUACUAUUAGAUGUAGUUGUUGGGGAGGACUGGCGGUAGUUGAUUUUCGAAACAACUGAAAAGAAAAUGGAAUAUAUGUACAUAUAUUGCAUUGUGAAAUACAAACGCUUUGUUUUUAAACACUUAAAUUGUAAAAAAAUGCUAAAAAUGGGUCAGCCAGAAAACAGUUUGGACGAAAUAUAAAAUCAGCUCGAGCUUGAUUUAACUUUGAAGAUAUUGAAUGUUGCUUGAGCUCUAUUUGAAUAUAUAUUUUAAUAAAAUGUAUCUAUUAA